ACAGGUGCUGCAUGGCUGUCGUCAGCUCGUGCCGUGAGGUGUUCCCUUAAGUGGGGAAACGAGCGCAACCCCCAUCCAAUGUUAAAUAUUCAUUGGAGACGGUCCCAGCUUAGCUGGGAAGGAAGGAGGGGAAGACGUCAAGUCAGCACGGCCCUUAUGCCCUGGGCCACACACACACUACAAAGGCGAAAAACAACGGGCUGCAAGCCGGCAACGGCAAGCUAAUCCCUUAAAUUUCGCCUCAGUUCAGAUUGGGGGCUGAAACCCGCCCCCAUGAAGUUGGAAUCGGUAGUAAUCGCGGAUCAGCAAGCCGCGGUGAAUACGUUCUCGGGUCUUGUACACACCGCCCGUCAAGGCAGCAAAGUCGGUAGCUAUCGAACUCCGGUUUUUAUCGGGGGAGAUAGAGAUUGGCGAUGAAGCUUAAGUCGUAACAAGGUAUCCUUAGCCGAAGCUGAGGAUGGAUCACCUCCUUU
rnacentral:rRNA from 1 species